GACCCUGUAGCGCAGUCUGGAUGCGAGACACAUAGCGCGACGGCCUUCUAAGCCGUAGGUCGGGGGUUCGAAUCCCUCCAGGGUCA
rnacentral:tRNA from 1 species